UCAAUCUCGUGCGGCUAGAAGCCGCCUGUCCCUCUAAGAAGAGUUGUUUAUACGCCGACAGUAAAAACCGCGCGCGACCGCGACGCGAACGCCGGGCCGGCGGGCCUUUGAGAUGUCGGAAAUACGCCUAGUUAGCAGGCUAGAGUCUCGUUCGUUAU
rnacentral:rRNA from 1 species